rnacentral:rRNA from 1 species
UACGUAGGGUGCGAGCGUUAUUCGGAAUUACUGGGCGUAAAGCGUGCGUAGGCGGUUUUGUAAGACCGCGGUGAAAUCCCCGGGCUCAACCUGGGAACUGCCUUUGUGACUGCAAGGCUUGAGUGCGGCAGAGGGGGAUGGAAUUCCGCGUGUAGCAGUGAAAUGCGUAGAUAUGCGGAGGAACACCGAUGGCGAAGGCAAUCCCCUGGGCCUGCACUGACGCUCAUGCACGAAAGCGUGGGGAGCAAACAGG